rnacentral:rRNA from 1 species
UACAGAGGUCUCAAGCGUUGUUCGGAUUCAUUGGGCGUAAAGGGCGCGUAGGCUGCGGGGCAAGUCGGGUGUGAAAUCUCAGAGCUCAACUCUGAAACUGCACUCGAUACUGCUUUGCUUGAGGACUGGAGAGGAGAUUGGAAUUCACGGUGUAGCAGUGAAAUGCGUAGAUAUCGUGAGGAAGACCAGUGGCGAAGGCGGAUCUCUGGACAGUUCCGUGACGCUG